ACCAAGGGUUCCUGUCCAACGUUAAUCGGGGCAGGGUAAGUCGACUCCUAAGGCAAGGCCGAAAGGCGUAGUCGAUGGGAAACGGGUUAAUAUUCCCGUACUUCUUACAAUUGCGAUGGGGGGACGGAGAAGGCUAGGUGGGCCUGGCGACGGUUGUCCAGGUUCAAGUAUGUAGGCGGAAAGUUUAGGUAAAUCCGGACUUUCUUAACGCUGAGAUACGAUGUCGAGCUACUACGGUAGUGAAGUCAUUGAUGCCAUGCUUCCAGGAAAAGCCUCUAAGCUUCAGAUUGUAAGGAAUCGUACCCCAAACCGACACAGGUGGUCGGGUAGAGAAUACCAAGGCGCUUGAGAGAACUCGGGUGAAGGAACUAGGCAAAAUGGUACCGUAACUUCGGGAGAAGGUACGCUCUUAUCAGUGAAGUCCCUUGCGGAUGGAGCAGACGAGAGUCGCAGAUACCAGGUGGCUGCAACUGUUUAUUAAAAACACAGCACUGUGCAAAAUCGUAAGAUGACGUAUACGGUGUGACGCCUGCCCGGUGCCGGAAGGUUAAUUGAUGGGGUUAGACUUCGGUCGAAGCUCUUGAUCGAAGCCCCGGUAAACGGCGGCCGUAACUAUAACGGUCCUAAGGUAGCGAAAUUCCUUGUCGGGUAAGUUCCGACCUGCACGAAUGGCGUAAUGAUGGCCACGCUGUCUCCACCCGAGACUCAGUGAAAUUGAAAUCGCUGUGAAGAUGCAGUGUACCCGCGGCUAGACGGAAAGACCCCGUGAACCUUUACUACAGCUUGGCACUGAACAUUGAACCUACAUGUGUAGGAUAGGUGGGAGACUAUGAAAUUGCGUCGCUAGAUGUGAUGGAGUCGUCCUUGAAAUACCACCCUUGUAGUUUUGAUGUUCUAACGUUGGUCCCUGAAUCGGGAUUACGGACAGUGCCUGGUGGGUAGUUUGACUGGGGCGGUCUCCUCCCAAAGAGUAACGGAGGAGCACGAAGGUGGGCUAAACACGGUUGGACAUCGUGUGGUUAGUGCAAUGGCAUAAGCCCGCUUGACUGCGAGAAUGACAAUUCGAGCAGGUGCGAAAGCAGGUCAUAGUGAUCCGGUGGUUCUGAAUGGAAGGGCCAUCGCUCAACGGAUAAAAGGUACUCCGGGGAUAACAGGCUGAUACCGCCCAAGAGUUCAUAUCGACGGCGGUGUUUGGCACCUCGAUGUCGGCUCAUCACAUCCUGGGGCUGAAGUCGGUCCCAAGGGUAUGGCUGUUCGCCAUUUAAAGUGGUACGCGAGCUGGGUUUAGAACGUCGUGAGACAGUUCGGUCCCUAUCUGCCGUGGGCGUUGGAAAAUUGAAAGGGGCUGCUCCUAGUACGAGAGGACCGGAGUGGACGAACCUCUGGUGUUCGGGUUGUCAUGCCAAUGGCAUUGCCCGGUAGCUAAGUUCGGAAUCGAUAACCGCUGAAAGCAUCUAAGCGGGAAGCGAGCCUUGAGAUGAGUUUUCCCUGGCACUAUAAGUGUCCUAAAGGGUUGU
rnacentral:rRNA from 1 species